rnacentral:tRNA from 1 species
GGGGCUGUAGCUCAGUGGCGGAGCACUUGCCUAGUAUGCAUGAGGCACUGGAUUCAAUCCUCAGCACCA